UGAAAAGCACUUCAGUGUUUCACAAAUCUCGUCAAGAUUCGCCCAAAGACUUCGUUUCAUUGAGUGUUCAGUUCCUCCAAUCUAUAGAAACGACGGACACAGUAAAGUGAUGGAAAAGUUGCCACCUACAGUCAAGGAGGCGGAGCGGACUGCUUGUAAUUGGAAGAAGACCCUCCCGCCUUCUUCCGGACACACCGUCUUCAGUUCCUCUCGGGUCAUGCUCAGUAGCAUGGAGCCGCUCAGCACGGCCAGACAGCGCACCGUGCUGCAAGCACAGAAGAACAAGAGCAAAUCAGACGUCUGAGGUCUUGGAGGUCGCAAAGGUUCAACUAUGAUGGAGGCCAUCUCCUCCUCCUCUUCCUUCAGCUCCUCCUCGUCCUUGAGCUCCUCUUCCUCCUCCUGGUCAUCAACAUCCUUCCGAGCUAUAACCAGGUGAGUGUCCUCUAAACGGGCAACCAAAACCAGAUUUAAACAAAUAUAUCUCAUUACUAUUGUCAACGCAGCCUCACCAUUGUAAUCAGGAGGGGCCCACUCGGGAGUUUGCUCUUUGGGUUCAAUUUUACUUUGGGUUUCAGGUUCUUCAUGUAAUGCACUGUCGAGUCAAAAUUGUCACCGCAUUCAAAUCCAAAGAAUACCCAAUGAGCGGGUUUUAUUGCUCCUACCUUAAACGUGCUUUUGAAAUACCCCUUUGGACGUAGUCAGCCUGGAAACAAGACAUGAAAUUUCAUUAUCAGGUUGGUAGUCUGAAUUAGUUGUGUUGGAGGAAUGAAACGUGUAAAAUAAAUAAUAAAAUAAGCGUGGAGAAAACCCGCAGACCACUCGUGGCCCUCGUGCCACACUUUGAGAACCACUCGAAAGGCUUAUCGGAUGGGGUCUUAAUUCUCACCCUGACAUCUUCGCAGUGGAACAGGAAGACACUUGUCAUGUGUUUCUUGUUUGCUUUGACCGUCAUUGCCAGGAGUGAGUUUGAAGCAGAUGUGUCCAACACAGCCUUCAGCUCCACGAUGUCACCUAGAUGAAUAGACUCCAGCACCUCCUGAGAGAAAGUCCAACAUUGUUAUCCUGUGAUGAAAAGCCCGAUAGAAAAUAGAUGGAUUCCGCACGAGCGCCUGCAAGUGACCUUGGUCUCUAUGUCGGUGAGCAGCAGGUCAGGCUCUUUGACCUCCAGCAGCAUGUUCUGGCCCCAUACUCGGCUCAUCUUGUCGAGCAGAUUGAGCCUGUCCACACAGUCUGCGAGGCCUCGCAGCUCCUUGCCAUCCAGGUCGCAUGUGAGGAGAUGCUGACAAGCAACAACAACAUCAAAUUAUCCCCUUAAGACCUUUGAUCAAUUUUAAUAGCUUUUCAGGUUGAUCGUGGCCAAUUGUAGAUAUAUUUUAGAUUGCUGACAAAAUCAGUCAAAAAUCACCAGCCUUGGUGAAAUUUCAUCACACUUGCAUUAACACUUCUAUAAUACUGUAAAGGUAGCGAGGAGGAUAAACAUAGCUAGCUUAGAGCCUUGCUGGUAAACAUGACUCUGGACCUUACCUCCACUCUGUAAUGGAAAUACUUUAUGGUCUUGGUCACGGAGGCGGCGUACUCCUUCCUUCGCACUGUCGAAACAGUGGAUCAUGAAAGUGAUCCCACAUCGCUCAAAUUGUACGGUGCGGUUACUUACUGUAUAUCGACCUUGCACUGGGCCUCGACAUACAUGACACCUGCGAUGACACCUCGUCUGUGACCGAGUUGCCACUGUCACAACAAAGAGCAAAUACUGGAGGCCAUUGGUAGAAAAGGUUCUCACGCCUUGUGGUUACAUUUUACUUCAAUUUAACAUGAGCUGAACUCAAAUAUUUUUUAACAAACAAAAGUCCUAUAUUUCUUUCAACUAUUGAAAUCUGUUUGCAAGCACUCCCCUUUUGACAAGGCAACACCUCCACCACACGGACGUGGCAUGUUAAGAUGCUGAUUAGAAAGCACGAUUAUGACUUAGGCGUGCCUUCGGGCCUUUCUGAAAUGUGCGGUUUAGGCACACGUCAUUUUUUUCAAGUGUAGGAAAAUUCAACUCCUGUACUCGUGUUACAGUUAAAAAAAAAAGACAGGACCUGUACUUAGUACAGUGAAGUAUUUGUCGUUACUUUGUACAUUUGCUCAAGGUUGACUGUGGGCAUUAUGAUAAAAUAAUGGACAGGAUGACGCACAUACUUGGACAGGACGGAUCCGGCAUAACUGCUGGUGUCAUUCGCCAGUGAACUGUCGCUCCGGAACAUCCUCACGCACACACCUGUCGUGUCGCAUGAAUGUCAUAAAACAAGGUAGCGUUAUAGUAUUGUAUGGUACUAUAUUUAGUUUUUACGCCUUAUUAUAGAAAAACCUUAACGGAUCCAAAAUCCAAAGUUCUAAUUGAAUUUCUGUUUUACUCAGGUCCACAUAUAAUUAUUUGCCAAGGUAAAAAAUGCUAACACUAAUGUUAAAAUAAACACUGAUUAAUACUUGUAUUGAUUUCUUUUGUAAUUUUCAACAUCCAUUCAGGUUCACGGAACGCUUUAAACAGACUUUCUUUUAUUUCAGUGAGCACUCAACAUUUUAGUAUUUUAUGCAGCAAUAAAGAACUUCCAACUGAAUCACCUUUUACAACCAAAAUUACCAUUAUGUCAACAAAUAUAGAUCCAAAAAUACAGAUACAAAACUACCAGCAUCACUUGGGUUCUUGUAAUUCUGUUAUAGUUAAAAGAUACACUUUGGAAUAUACUGUAUAAACAAAGUUUAGGAAAUUUUCAGUGUUCUUACCUUUUGUGUUGAAUGCAAUUUAAGAUCUGCCGUAUGGAAUAUUUAAAAUCCAGCUCAAAUUCCAAGUCAUAGUUUGAGCAAACACUUAAGACCUUCCCAUAAAGACAGAGCACAAAGUCCAGAUGCUGUGACACAACGAAUGUGUGGAAGAAGUGAGUUGCAUUUCCCAGUGUGGUAUCCCGCCUGGGCAAAGGUUAGACUAGAUAUGAAAACAUAUUGUGGAGAUGACAUGUUUAAUAGUUGCCAAGGCGAUAAGUUCACUUGCGCGGUCUAAUCAACUUGACAGCUUUCUGUGAUAAUUGGGAUUGUGAAUAAAAGCACAAGCCCAUUUAUCAAAAUUAAAUUUUGAAAAUUAUUUAUUAAGUAUAUUGCUUAAUGAUGUCUCCCCAGUGAUAAAGCUGUGAUUGCCUUAGAAUGUUGUAGAAGUGAUCAUUUGAAAAUAGAACACUAUACUAUGAUUACUUGUGCUUACACUGUUCAACCACUAGAGCGCACCAGUGAGGCACCGCUAUAUUUAGAGAUUUUGGCAACAUAAAUUGGAUCUGUUAUCGGUCAACUUUCACACAGUAAACAAAGGCGAUGUGUUGAAGUCAAAGUAAUCCAUGAAAUUAAAGCGAGUGUGACGUUUUUUAUUGUACAUAAAAUCAGAGCGUAAAAAGGCACCACUGAACACCUCACCGAUGCAAUAGCGUCCAUCUCAGAGCCAUAAAAUGGAAUGAUGCUUUUUUUUUUUUUGCAUACAAAUAGUGGAUUAAAAAUAUCUGUAAAAACACACACUGAAU